rnacentral:rRNA from 1 species
CGUGUAGGCGGGUUAGCAAGUCAGAUGUGAAACCCCACGGCUUAACUGUGGGACUGCAUCUGAAACUGCUGAUCUUGAGUGCUGGAGAGGAAAGCGGAAUUCCCAGUGUAGCGGUGAAAUGCGUAGAGAUUGGGAGGAACACCAGUGGCGAAGGCGGCUUUCUGGACAGUAACUGACGCUGAGGCGCGAAAGCGUGGGGAGCAAACA